rnacentral:misc_RNA from 1 species
AAAGUCGUAACAAGGUAACCGUAGGUGAACCUGCGGUUGGAUCAUUAACAAAUAAAUUAGGCCCCUGCCUGCUCCGUCAAAAGGGCAAGUGGGGAACACCUAAACAUUUGUGUGCACCAUAUCUGUCUUUGGCAGUUCGAGUGUCCCAGGUUGCGUAACUGCCCCGGGUACCUACCAAAGCAAACCUCAGGGCUUGCUGCGGUUGGGCUGCCGCAUUUUUUGAACAAACCCCUGUCGUUUUUUAAAAGCCUGAAAUUUUUUUGAUCUUCAAAGAUUAAAUUUAAAUACAACUUUUGACAACGGAUCUCUUGGCUCUC